AGUUAGACUCGAUCACGUCCGAACAAAAACAGCAAGGCAGUUGACGUGACGGAGUCAGGGGGGAGAUAGGAAGGGAGAAACUUUCUUUCUGGUAAGCUUCUUGUCUUUGGUUUCAUCUCGUCCACUACCAUCAACUCGAGGACCGGGUGACGUGAUAAAUGGAUGGACCCGAGGGCGGCGGAGAAACUCCCUCUUCGUCUCUCCUCUUCCCAGGGACAAGGAGAGAAGCCCACGUUCUCUCGCUCCAUUGCGUAUUUAUAGCUGUCGAUGCGAGGUGGUGUUUACUGUCCACUUAUUUAUUCGUCCCUUCGAUUCUAUGUGGCUUCCCGUUGAGGUGUUUGAAUGCUGCCACCGUAUUCCCACCACAGAGGAUAGAGGAGAAGCUGAGGGAGAUGCACCGCAAUGCAGCGUCCUACAAUUGCGCCGGCGUCAAGGCGGAGUUGGCCGAUGCAAGGAUUGUUCAUGGCGAUUAUGAGCCCCCGGCGUGCCCCAGGCCUCGCAGGCCUGAAGCGGCCGCGCCGGAGUUCCUCUUUCCUCUUAGCUGUAAGCACAGCUUACAAUGCUUCACAGUGCUGCAUAUAUUAAAUGCAUUCGCGACGUCGUAGAUUAUUGCUGAUAGUGAUGAUAUGGGGUGAAUGAAACCAAUAUACUUCAUGCAUGCACACCUGCCUUUUGAUGAUUUGCCUCUGAGAGCAAUAUAUGUACUUUUAUACUGUUCUAUGACAAAAAAAAAAAGAAAUUGAUAGCUUCACAUCAUCGCAGUAAACACAUUCUUAGUCUCAGAAUCUUGGCCUCGAAGGAACUUGAAGAUCGAUAAGCUGAUGCAGCAUAUGCAGUUCUAGUGAUUGAAUUUACCAUUGGGUCUGAUACCUUCAUACCCCCCUUUGACAUUUCCUGUGAUUAUGUGUUACAAGAACCAUAUUCCUUCUAGAGUUUGCAUUUUCUAUCAAAAUAGUUAUUGCUUCAUAAGGAUUUCUGACAUUUGUAAUGCAAGGAAAGUUGUGCACAAACUCUGACUGUGUUUACCUCGCAAAAUUGUUUACCUUCAGAAACUGUGAGAAACCUGUAUUUGGUAUAUGAUGUAGUAAUGCUCAUGUAGAACUGCGUUUCUAUAUGAACAAUGAUUGUGAUAAAUGUUGUUUCAUGCUGCUUCACUCAUCCAGUCAUGCAAGCCAUCAGGGGAGCAGCCAAGUCCUGGACAUGAUAUCAAGAAAGAAUGACGAAGGAAGAGAAUCUAUCAGCACAGGAUGUCCACCUUCUUGCUACUGUGGGUCUCCUCCAAGAAGAUUGGAUAACCCUUUGAUUCAUGAUGUGCAAUUUGUUCAGCAGACAGAGAUACUCUCACCAUUGACACUGAGUAAGUUGUCUAAUAGGUAUGGCUUCAGCUCAGCACCUCCAAUAUGAUGUGUUAAAGUAGCACAAGAAAUAACUUGGACUUGGAGGAAGAGCCUCCCAAGUCUGCAACAUGAAGUCUUUUAUUCAAAGAGCAACAGGAAGAGCCUCUCAGAGAUCAACCAAUCAAAUCCUAGGGUUUUAGAAGUGAGACAACCAUCUUCACAAGUAACUUGCAAAUGUAUCCUAUCUUCUUCUCCUUUAGUUUCCAUUUUAUAGCUGGCCCAGGAUCUCUGUAUAUGUACAUGGCAGGUUCGAUAAAGUUUUCAUUUUUCAUUAUUAUUUUUUCUUUUACUUUGAAGUUUUUACGGGAUCGACGUAUUGUAUUUAUCGAACCUGAAAUGCUAACCAUUGAAUGGAUCAAAAAGAAUUACAUGAAUGUGAGCU